CAAAUGGCGGCAGGCCUAACCAUGCAAGUCGGACGGUAGCACAGAGGAGCUUGCUCCUUGGGUGACGAGUGGCGGACGGGUGAGUAGUGUCGGGGGAUCUGCCCGAUAGAGGGGGAUAACCACUGGAAACGGUGGCUAAUACCGCAUAACGUCGCAAGACCAAAGAGGGGGACCUUCGGGCCUCUCACUAUCGGAUGAACCCAGAUGGGAUUAGCUAGUACGCGGGGUAGUGCCCCCCCUACGCCACUAUCCCUAUCUGGUCUGAGAGGAUGACCACCCACACUGGAACUGACACACGGUCCACACUCCUACGGGAGGCAGCAGUGGGGAAUAUUGCACAGUGGGCGCAAGCCUGAUGCACCCAUGCCGCGUGUAUGAAAAAGGCCUUCGGGUUGUAAAGUAUUUUCAGCGGGGAAGAAGGCGACGGGGUUAAUAACCGUCUCUAUUGACUUUACCCGCAAAAAAAGCACCGGCUAACUCCGUGCCAGCACCCGCGGUAAUACAGAGGGUGCAAGCGUUAAUCAGAAUUACUGGGCGUAAAGCGCACGCACGCGGUCUGUUAACUCAUAUGUGAAAUCCCCGGGCUUAACCUGGGAACUGCUUUUGAAACUGGCACGCUUGACUCUUGUAGAGGGGGGUAAAAUUCCGUGUGUAGCGGUGAAAUGCGUAGAGAUCUGGAAGAAUACCGGUGGCGAACGCGGCCCCCUGGACAAAGACUGACUCUCAUGUGCGAAAGCGUGGGGAGCAAACAAGAUUAUAUACUGUGGUACUCCACGCCAUACACUAUGUCCACUUGGAUGUUGUUCCCUUGAAGAGUGGCUUCCAGAGCUAACGCGUUAACUCCACCGCGUGGAGAGUACGCCCGCAGGGUUAAAACUCAUAUGAUUUGACGGGGGCCCGCACAAGCGGUGGAGCGUGUGGUUUAUUUUCUAUGCACGCGAAAUCUUACC
rnacentral:rRNA from 1 species